UACGGAGGAUCCAAGCGUUAUUCGGAAUCAUUGGGUUUAAAGGGUCCGUAGGCGGUUUAAUAAGUCAGUGGUGAAAGCCCAUCGCUCAACGGUGGAACGGCCAUUGAUACUGUUAAACUUGAAUUAUUAGGAAGUAACUAGAAUAUGUAGUGUAGCGGUGAAAUGCUUAGAGAUUACAUGGAAUACCAAUUGCGAAGGCAGGUUACUACUAAUGGAUUGACGCUGAUGGACGAAAGCGUGGGUAGCGAACAGG
rnacentral:rRNA from 1 species